UACGGGGGGGGUAAGCGUUGUUCGGAAUCACUGGGCGUAAGGGUGCGUAGGCGGGUCUUUUAAGUCAGGGGUGAAAUCCUGGAGCUCAACUCCAGAACUGCCUUUGAUACUGAAGAUCUUGAGUUCGGGAGAGGUGAGUGGAACUGCGAGUGUAGAGGUGAAAUUCGUAGAUAUUCGCAAGAACACCAGUGGCGAAGGCGGCUGACUGGUCCGGUUCUGACGCUGAGGCGCGAAAGCGUGGGGAGCAAACAGG
rnacentral:rRNA from 1 species